AUCUUACAUAGAACAACCAGAAAAUCACUUUCCUUUCCUAAUAUCAGCAUUUGAAACCGCUCACUUUGUUUUGGAUUCUCCAUACAUGAUUCUACUGAAAACAACGUUUAGAUGACCAUUCAUUUAAUACAUAUACUUAUAUAAGGAUGAUUCCUCACAAAACUAGAACACUUUUUUUUUUCAUGAAAUGCAAUCUGUAGAAUGUUCCUUUGGAGGAAGGAUUGUUGGGAUAUAUUUGACAUUUAACUUAAAGCAUAGUUGAAAAGUAUUUAAUUGAAGUUGGAAUAUUUGUUGCUAUGUUGUUGCCUUAGGUCUCUCUUUAUGUUGUCUCUUGUCGCAAUGUUUUUUCUUAUAUUUCUGUGUUAUAUAUACAUAUAUAUUUACAAUUUUUAAUCCCAGCCCACGUCCCCGCACGAGGUCUUUUGCCUCACCGUCAUUGUGAAUAAGAAUUUGUUCUUAACUGACCUGCCUAGCUAAAUAAAAUAAAUACAAAAAAAUAGUGACAUUUUGGCCUUACCAGGCCUCCUUUAAGAGUAAAUAUUUCAGUUGUAGGUGCUACAAAGCAACAUUUGGUGUCAUAUUCAACUUUACUGCUUGCUCUGUUAUAUGAGUAGUAUUUUGAUUGCAAUAACACAUUUUUGACAUUCUUUUUACACGCUUCAGCACUCGGCGGUCCUGUUCUGUGAGCUUGUGGGGCCUCCCACUUCACAGCCAUUGUUGCUCCUAGAUGGUUUCCACUUCACAAUAACUGCACUUAAGAGUUGAGCAGGGCAGAUAUGUGAUGAACUGACUUGUUGGAAAGGUGCCAUUCUAUGAUGGUGCCACAUUGAAAGUCACUGAGCCCUUCAGUAAGGCCAUUCUUUUGCAACUGUGCCUAUGGAGAUUGUAUACAAGGGUGUGGCUGAAAUAGCCAAAUCCAAUCAUUUGAAGGGGUGACCACAUACCUUUGUGUGUAUAUAUAGUGCAUUAUUUCCCAUGUUUAUAGCCAAUAGGCUAUAAAGGCCAGGGGCAGUUGUGUAAUUCAAAUAAAACCAGAGAGGAAGAGGCGAAUUUGUAAGACAAGAAGACAUUGCAAGAUGCAGAUUACCAAAACAGAGCACGCUUCUGCCUUCUGCUUCUCUCGUUCACGCUGGCCUGCCUGUCUCUUCGCUAAUGAUGCUAGUUAGUGUGUGUUCAGUCUUUGGUCUGUUGCGUGAAGAAUAUCCUAGCCAAUUCAUGGCACCGAUUUUUACAGUCAGUCUUGCUGGUACGAGGUAGUCUACUCGAACUUUUUGUCUCAUAUGAAAUUUUAGUAGACUUCCGGUAGCCUGCAUCGAUUACGCUUUUCAGACAUAAUGGAAUGUGACCCCUUCAAAUCCCGUCGGCUACUGCAUGUUUGUUUCUCUGUCUGUUAGGCUUCUGGAGUCACUGGUGUGGAUCCUCCGGAAUGUGUUGCGUGUGGAUGGGAAGACAGGCUCCUGGAACCUGUCUCUGGACUGCAGAACCUUACUACACACCAUCUUGACAAAUAAAACAAAUCAGGACAUUCUCCACAGGGAAGUCGUUACUGAAAGGAGGAGAAGCCAGUACAUUGUGGUUACAGGUUACUGUGAAGGACAACAUGAACCAUUAUAUGCUCACCACAUGCUUGCUGCGCUACCUACACCCAUAUUACCAAUGUUGUUAUUAUUACAAAUGUUUAUUUUUAUUUACAAUUGUAAUUUAUUGUAAAAACAAAAGGCAAUGUUUAGCUAUUACCCAGGACAAUAAGAAAUCCCAUUGGCUAUUUAGCCAUUCUAUAGCCAGAUAUUUAAAUAUUUAUACUGUUACAUUGGUCAGCGUUAGAAUGCAUUCUGAGUGUGGUGCUUCGGUUAGUUUUCAGACUACUAACCCUAGCCUACUAUUCAAUUGAUUUACUUUAAAUUGAAGGAAUGUAUUUAUUCCCUUUAAAUUCAGGUUGUAUGCUGAUUCUGUAUUUUUCUACGUGAACCAAAUAGUAAAAUAAUCAUAUUUGGAGGACAAAGUGUUUGUUUUAAUUAACUUCAUUGAAAGUCAAAAGGCUGAUUUUUGUAACAUUUGAUUCCUUUCAGUCGCUACAAUAUGAUACAGCAGCAGGUAGCAAUGUUGGAACUAACAUAAGUUGCGUGUAACCAAUCUUUAUUUUGAAAUCUCACCUUUAUUUUGAAAAACGAUCCACUAAGUAGAAGACAUUUUUUUGUUUCCGGAACAAAAAUAAACAAAAAAGAGAACCUGCGAGAAGCUAGCCACAAUAAGGACUAGCCACAAUAGUGGAAUUUACGGGUUGUCUUCAAAAUAAAAGCUCCCAUUUGACUGACUUCAAACUGAUACAAGUGGAUUCCUUGGGUGCGUAUGUAAAUUCACUCUGGCUAUCUACUCUGAUUUCAGAACACUCUCGUUCGAGUAUGCCAGAGCACAGAAUAACUGAGGCUACUAACACGCAACACUAGUUGAAUAUGACGGGUGUCAGUAAAGGUUGACAAAAACCAUUAUUCAAUUGUUGCUAGCAGCACUGUUAGUCACUAAUGCUCUAGAUAACAUGAA